rnacentral:rRNA from 1 species
CCUUUGGAGGGUUUGAUCCUGGCUCAGAGUGAACGCUGGCGGCGUGGAUUAGGCAUGCAAGUCGAGCGAUCGAAAUUUUGAAGCAAUUGAAGUCUUCGGACUGAUUUUGUGGAUGAAUUUCUGAUAGCGGCAAACGGGUGAGUAACACGUGGGUAAUCUGCCCUAGAGAGGAGGAUAGCUUCGAGAAAUCGGAGGUAAUACUCCAUACAGUUUCAGCAUUAAUUUGUUGAAAUCAAAGAUGGCUUAGGACUUCGGUCCGCUGUCGCUUUAGGAGGGGCCCGCGGCCUAUCAGGUAGUUGGUAGAGUAAUAGCCUACCAAGCCAGAGACGGGUAGCUGGCAUUAGCGUGUGGUCAGCCACAUCGGGACUGAGACACUGCCCGGACUCCUACGGGAGGCUGCAGUCGAGAAUCUUUCCCAAUGGGCGAAAGCCUGAGGAUGCGAC